AUAGCUGAGGAAGAACGGAGGGACGUGGAAGUAGUGGACAAAACAUUUUUUGUCUUUGGAAAAGAAGAAAGAAGGAUAAAAACCUUUACUCUCAACUCAACAUCAACAACUAGAAUAAUAAUAACUAGCUAGCUACCUAAAAAAACAAGCACGAGAAAGAAAAAGAAGAAGAAGAAAAAAAGAAAAAGGAAAACAAACUCCUCCGGCCCAAACAAAGAAAGCCCAGCCCAUUCAAGAAACCAGACAACGAAAAGGGAAAAAAAGCUGAAAGAAUUAAAAAAAAUAAAAGAACAAAAAUAAUGACAGUGAUUUGAAUUAUUUAAGAACAAGAAGAGAAAAGAAAAAGGUAACCAUGACAAAAAUAAAGCAAAUAAACCCCAUAAAACUUUAUCGGGAAUGAUGCUGUAACCUUGGGUCCCUUGAUCCCAUCGCACCAGUAGGAGUAGU
rnacentral:sRNA from 1 species